rnacentral:rRNA from 1 species
CGGGAUAGCCCAGGGAAACCUGGAUCAAUACCGGAUGCGAGGGCGGCCGCACAAGCGGCCGUCGGGAAAGGCGCUUCGGCGCCGGCCGGGGGAUGGGUCCGCGUCCCAUUAGCUAGACGGUGGGGUAACGGCCCACCGUGGCGAUGAUGGGUAGCCGGCCUGAGAGGGUGGACGGCCACAUUGGAACUGAGACACGGUCCAGACUCCUACGGGAGGCAGCAGCUAAGAAUAUUCCGCAAUGGACGAAAGUCUGACGGAGCGACGCCGCGUGGAUGACGAAGGCCGAAAGGUUGUAAAACCCUUUUGCUGAUGAAGAAUAAGCGUGGUAGGGAAUGACCGCGUGAUGACAUUAGUCGGUGAAUAAGCCCCGGCUAACUACGUGCCAGCCGCCGC